rnacentral:rRNA from 1 species
GAUGAACGCUGGCGGCGUGCCUAAUACAUGCAAGUCGAACGCAUUCCGUUAAAUGAAGUGCUUGCACGGAUUUUAACAUUGGAUGAGUGGCGAACUGGUGAGUAACACGGUGGGUAACCUGCCCAGAAGCAGGGGAUAACACUUGGAAACAGGUGCUAAUACCGUAUAACAACAAAAACCGCAUGGUUUUUGUUUGAAAGGUGGUUUCGGCUAUCACUUCUGGAUGGACCCGCGGCGUAUUAG